AGUAAAAGUCGUAACAAGGUCUCCGUAGGUGAACCUGCGGAGGGAUCAUUACAAGUGACCCCGGUCUAACCACCGGGAUGUUCAUAACCCUUUGUUGUCCGACUCUGUUGCCUCCGGGGCGACCCUGCCUUCGGGCGGGGGCUCCGGGUGGACACUUCAAACUCUUGCGUAACUUUGCAGUCUGAGUAAACUUAAUUAAUAAAUUAAAACUUUUAACAACGGAUCUCUUGGUUCUGGCAUCGAUGAAGAACGCAGCGAAAUGCGAUAAGUAAUGUGAAUUGCAGAAUUCAGUGAAUCAUCGAAUCUUUGAACGCACAUUGCGCCCCCUGGUAUUCCGGGGGGCAUGCCUGUUCGAGCGUCAUUUCACCACUCAAGCCUCGCUUGGUAUUGGGCAACGCGGUCCGCCGCGUGCCUCAAAUCGACCGGCUGGGUCUUCUGUCCCCUAAGCGUUGUGGAAACUAUUCGCUAAAGGGUGUUCGGGAGGCUACGCCGUAAAACAACCCCAUUUCUAAGGUUGACCUCGGAUCAGGUAGGGAUACCCGCUGAACUUAAGCAUAUCAAUAAGCGGAGGAAAAGAAACCAACAGGGAUUGCCCCAGUAACCG
rnacentral:rRNA from 1 species